UACGUAGGGUGCGAGCGUUAAUCGGAAUUACUGGGCGUAAAGCGUGCGCAGGCGGUUUUGUAAGCCGGAUGUGAAAUCCCCGGGCUUAACCUGGGAAUGGCAUUCGGGACUGCAAGGCUGGAGUGCGGCAGAGGAGACUGGAAUUCCUGGUGUAGCAGUGAAAUGCGUAGAUAUCUGGAGGAACACCGGUGGCGAAGGCGGCGUUCUGGACUGUUUCUGACACUGAAUAACGAAAGCCAGGGGAGCAAACGGG
rnacentral:rRNA from 1 species